UACGAAGGGGGCUAGCGUUGCUCGGAAUCACUGGGCGUAAAGGGCGCGUAGGCGGCCAUUCAAGUCGGAGGUGAAAGCCCAGGGCUCAACCCUGGAAUUGCCUUCGAUACUGUUUGGCUAGAGACCGGAAGAGGUAAGUGGAACUGCGAGUGUAGAGGUGAAAUUCGUAGAUAUUCGCAAGAACACCAGUGGCGAAGGCGGCUUACUGGUCCGAUACUGACGCUGAGGUGCGAAAGCGUGGGGAGCAAACAGG
rnacentral:rRNA from 1 species